GUUCUGUUGCCCUUUUAUCUCAGGUCUGGGUGAUGUUAUGAAUGGUGAUACUUAGGUUCCUAGAACUCAGCCGGCCCAGCAUGCAUUGUGCACAGAUUUGACAUUAUCUAAGCAAGGGUUGGCUAUGGCCCAUCUUGGAGAAGGGAAGGCAUUAGGGUUGUUCUGAUGGAGCAGUUUGUUUACUCUUAGGACACAAAGGAAGAAGUACCCAGGGGGAGUGCAUGCCUGACACACUUCUGAGGAACUGAACCACCUCCAUCAGUAGCUAGCCCGAGAGAAGGCACCUUUGCAGUGUGAGAGAGGCCCACACGGGCAAUUCUUGGCUAGUGGCUUUUCCACAGGCGUCAGGAGGGCUACAUACUAAUGCUAACACAAGACAACCGACGUCUUCCUUCCCAGCAAGUACAUCUCCUGUCUUGUCCCUGUGUGUGUUCAUUGAGUCAGUGCAGAAGGCACCAGUGGGUGAGAUUUCCAUAGGAUUCAGUCCCAAGGGCCCUUAAACUGUGAGUAAUGGAAGAGGCAUUGACCAGGGUCCAGAGAAGCCCCAGGUGUUACUGCAAGUUCCUCCCUUUGGUAGGGGCAGUGAGGCACUUCAGAGUGAGGACUUUGUAUUCUUUAGAGAUGUUAAUUCAAGGGGCGAGAUCCAAGCUGUGAAGAUGCAUUAGCGACUGGAUAUGAACUUCAAAAGGGGUAGGGUUAACAGACCUGUUAGCCAAGGUGAGAGUGAGGUUGUCAUUCUUAGGGAUGAAAUGUAGUAUCUUUAAUCCUUAGGGAUCACUUUGUGGGUGGAAGUGACAGACCAGCACCGGGAUAGAUUUUGCUCAUGGGCUAUAAUCCCUAAGAAAUUUACUAUUGCAUUGAAUUCCUAUUCCCUGUGGACAGAAGAGAUGGAACAGAGGAGAUCAGAAAGAAUAGACAAUAAUGGCCACUCAUCCUGCUUCCAGUAUGAAGAUUCCCCUACAUCUAGCAUGGACAGAAGUGUUGACAGAGGGAGGAGUUUUGGCAGAACAACAGAAGUCAAGUACGGCAAUGGCAAAGAAAAAGCCAACUACUAAGCCUGUCUGUCUACCACAUUACUUUAUUGGCUUCCAAAUAAACCCAAUCCUAGGGGACAAAAGAUGUGAAUCCAUAUCAGAAGAGAGAGGCAGUUCUGGAUUCCUGAGGUGUGUAAAGCUUUGAUUCUGCCCCCUCUCUGUAAGGUCUGUUUUCACCAGUCCAUAGCCCUAGGCUUGGUCUUGGAGCUGGGUUCUUCAGGAUAGGCUUCCUGUACAUGAGCUCAUAUGGACUCAACCUGAGUUUCCUUUGGGGGCCAUUUGCAUUCUCAAAAGUGCUGUGGGGAGAAGGGAGAUCUAGGCUGAUGAAUGAACCACAGGAGAAUUCCUAAAUUUUUGCUGAGGGUUUGGUUUGUUCUACUUUUCCUGAGGAUUGUGGCCUCCAAGUAGCGUGUGAACCCCAUUUGAUUCGUAGAGCUCUAGAGUUUCUCUUAGUAAUUUGGGAAAAUAACAUGGGCCCGUUGUGACUCUGGAUGGAUAUAAGGAGCCUGAGCUGAAGAUUACUUCCUUGAGCAAGGCCUUAGACCUCCAAGCAGUCUCUGUUUGAGUGGGGAAUGCUCCAUUAGUUGGAAAGGUGUCAAAACCAGCAUAGGAGUUCCCUGGUAGCCUCAUGGUUAAGGAUUAGGCAUUGUCACUGCUAUGGUUCGAGUUCAUUUCCCAGCCUGGGAAACUCUGUGUACCAUGAAUGUGGCCAAAAAACAAAACAAAACCAGGAUAUAUCUAAAAUUUAAUUGCCCCAGGGCAUUACUGUGAAAUCAGAUUGCCAGUCUUAACCUGCAUAUGUGCCUUUAUACUGGGUGGGGGUCACUCCCUUGGCCUUGGGUCGGGGGAGGUGUGUUGGGCUUAUUCCAGAGGCAGAUAGGGCAGCUUUUACCACCUGUUUAAGUAGACUGCAGAAAUUGGGAGUAGUCAUGGAUUGGAUAAGCUGUUGAUACAGGGCCUCCUGCCCAUAAAGUAUGCUCUAGUGAGUUUCCCAGAGAGCAAUGGCUGAUGGGAGAAUAGCUGCCCAUGACCAUUAACCAGCUACCUGGGUAUUAUGCCUUUUAAAACAACCCCACCUUUGAGUUUCCUGGUGGCCUAGUGGUUUAGGAUUUGGCAUUGUCACUGCUGUGGCUCAGAUUUGAUCC
ensembl:lncRNA